rnacentral:misc_RNA from 1 species
AGACCGGAAGCUUUUGAAGCCGGCAAACGCUGUGGAAAAUGCAAACAACCUGAAAACGUACGGAUCUGAAUGGAGCUGUCAACUAUGAACUACAUGUAUCUGCUCUACGUUCAUCUUCUACUCUCAUAUUUUACGGAGAUACACUCGUCAGCCAAACCAUAUAAAGAAACAAAACCGCAAAAGAAAGAGCUGAAACCACUCAAAGGACCUCACUCAACUUCAAGGAACGAUGAAGACAACACCCAAAACCGGUUCCUAAGAACGUUCCUCCUCAAUAGGCAGAAACGUCCACGAUCUUCCACAGAAAACUCUUUUCGACGCGUCCGCAAGAUAACGAAAAGACCAACAACGACCACAAACUGUAAAAUAUUCUGCCGCAGUGGUUAUCACCUUCAAAUUCUCCCCAGUGGGGUAGUGAGGGGUACGGUUGACCAGGACAGCGAGUACGUGUUGUUUGAGAUGCAGUCAUUCGGGCCCAGUCUCGUUAGGCUGAUGAGUCCAGCGACGGGCAGGUAUCUAACUAUGAAAAGAGAUGGGACACUUCGUGGGUUGAGAAGCCAAACCACCCGAGACUCGCUCUUCAAAGAGACUCACGAAGAGAACGCGUUUCACUCUUAUGCGUCUUACAGAUAUUACAGAAAACAGCCACACGACAUGUUGGUUGGAAUCAAGAGGAACGGGCAAAUAAAGCGCGCCACGAAGACUUUCCAUGGACAAACUGCUACACAAUUUCUUGUCAUCAAAUUUUGAUCAAGGCUUAAGUUUUAAUUGUUCUCAUCCUCGAAGACCCAGGGGCUGUCAGUCGAUUUCUAGUCAGGGCGUAACAGCUAUGACUAGAUGUCGACUCACUGCCCCUCAGUCUCCAAAGAUGAAUUAUUCUUAGCUGUAUAAACAGAUCUUCCUUCAAAAUUGCUGCCUAAAUUUAAAGCUUUAUAUACGAAACUACUCUGGAAAUUGUGACAAGGUGCAUUCGGCGUCGAGUUGUUUCACCAAUCCGCAAAUGGAAGCAAAAGUGGGGAAAAGAAAAACCUGAGACUUAAUUACGAGUAUCAAACAACUUAAUUUGACAUUCAUUCUAUUCUUAAUCAGCAGAAAAGACAUCGUGGCCCUGAAAUUACGCUGCCGAGCCGCCAUUUUGGUCGUCUCUUAGCUGUUUCACCAUUUGUGUAACCAUUUGACCGCGUUUUAUUUCAGACAAGGUAGCGAAUGACGAACUGCUAACGUUCGAAAGGCAGCUUUGAAACUCUUAACGGUAGCCAAUUUACGUUCUCAACUCAGUUGAUAAAACCAAAUUACCUUGUUAUACUCUCUCACCGACGCAGCACCACAGUUUUUUUAGAUAGCGACCCCUUUAUUCAUUUGUUAUUUCAGACAGUCGAUUUUUCAAUAACGAGAGUUACACUGAGUCUAUAUCAGUUAUAGGUACGCACAAUCUGGACCAGGACGCUCUUUAGGGAAUGUUUUUCAUUUAAUGUUUCACUUCAGUGGCUAUUUUGAAGGAGUGUCUAGACAAAGCCGACGAUCUGAUUCAAGUUGUUAGGAAAUAUAUUUAGCUAGGCAAUAAACGCGUCCAACUCACGGACAUGCAAUUAUGUUCUUUAGUAAAAAAUAGUGUGAUUAGCAGAAAGAUCGCUCGCUUGUCUCAUAGAUUGAAAUCAUGCGAUUAUAAAAAUUUUUACUUUAUGACAAAUUUAAUUUUAUCAAAGUCUCAGUCAGAUGCCGAGUCAUCUCCGAGAGGCGAGAAUUUAAUCUCUAGUUCUUUUAACUACCUUUAUUGUGCCAAAGUCUCUCACAACAAGAUCAACGUGUUUUUUCCCCUUUUCUAAUUACGAAAUAAGUAAGCAGACACAUCGCCUCUAAAUUGCAGCCAUCACAACAGCUUUAAAGAUUUAUCGUAUUCAAUAUUUAUUUAUUUAUCCAUCUAUUUAGGAGAAUUAAGGAUAUUGAAUAUCAACGUGCAGUUUUUCUAAAAAGCAAUUCGAAUUAUUGUAUUGCAAAACGACGAUAGGUUAGGAGCUUCUUAACUAAUCAGACAUCUUGCCAAGAGUGAAAUAAAGUCACUAUUUCAAUUCCA